GCUCUCUCAGGGUCACACCUGGAGAGUUUCCAGGACUCUACCAGUUUCGACUACAGGAGGGAGAGUCAAGCAGAGGCCUACCCAUUCCAUUCCCACCUUGGCCAGUGGCUAGCGAAUGGAAGACAAUCUGCUGCAAGU